UACAGAGGUCUCAAGCGUUGUUCGGAUUCAUUGGGCGUAAAGGGUGCGUAGGUGGCGCGGUAAGUCGGGUGUGAAAUUCGUGCUUAACUCCGAAACUGCAUUCGAUACUGCCGUGCUUGAGGACUGGAGAGGAGACUGGAAUUUACGGUGUAGCAGUGAAAUGCGUAGAGAUCGUAAGGAAGACCAGUGGCGAAGGCGGGUCUCUGGACAGUUCCUGACACUGAGGCACGAAGGCCAGGGGAGCAAAACGGG
rnacentral:rRNA from 1 species